CUCUUUCCCUUUUAUGUUUUUCUUUAUUCUCCUUUUGUCUUUGGGGAGACCCCUGUUUCCGUAUUCUAGAGAUUAUUAUCUUAUCUUAGUACUCUUGAGCACUUCUUUUCAUUAUAGCCUGUGACGUUUAUCUACAUUUACCGUCACUUCUCACCUCAGAGCCCCAACAACUUUUUAAUAACUUGUGCCACUACAUAUGUAUGUAGACAUCCAGAAUAUCAAUUUUACUAUUCUGUUUACAGGCUUCUUUAUUAAACCUCCUCGUUCCACCGACUUUCCCUUACCGCUCCUGGUUUCUAUAUGGUCAUUCCAUCUUGGCCCCAUAAUUUUUGGGGGUGACCUCUGUGGUGUUGAGCGGGGUGUUUCACAGUAUGUGGACAGCUGUUUUUUCUGCCUGGGAUGGAAGCUAUCCUUAUUAGACCGCCUGAUGCUGCCGCUUGGACUGCAGCACAUCAUUGAGACACAUCAUCAAGCCACACAAACUCUCUGAAGAAGACCUCCAAAGGUCGAAACGUUCGUUAGAUUGUUUUUACUACAAUGCACAUUUUUGACUGUAUAAACAUUGUUUGUGUACUGCUUCUUAUAAAUUUAUGUAAACGCUGUUUGUGUACUUGAUACAACUCAUGCUCCAUCCAUUUAUGCUACCCAAUUUUUGUCCACUUUUGUCCAAUUUUAACAUGUGAAUAAAUACAACUUUUUUAUUA